rnacentral:sRNA from 1 species
GAACAAUAUGCGGAAUCGUAGUGAAACGGAAACAUUACUAUUAUUUCCCGGCGCUGUUCCUUCGUCCGGAUUGUGGCCCUUUCAGGUCAUUGGCUAUCCUCCUCUUGCCUCUGCAAGUACCAGGCACAAAAUGGACUACUAAGCAACACCCGGUCUCGCCAUUAACUGCACGCUGCAUUUUCCCAGCAACAUCUCCUGGGCUUCCGAGUGUUUUGCAGGAGGACUGAUGCAUGCGCAGCCACAUGGACGGGGAAGCAGACAGCUGUGAGGGACACCUGGCCAGGUCUGCACCAGCUGAUGGGAGUGGGAAUGGCUUGACUCCUCCUACGAAAAGGUGACAGCUCAGAGGUUGAGGUAGUAGAUUGACAACUGGAGCCUGUGCACUAACUGUCCUUUGUACCUACAAGCUUUUCCCUGGGGGAAGAUCUGAAGGGUACAUCUGGGAUGGCCUCAGCAUCCACUGUGUGGUCCAUUUUCAGGUUUUUCCCUCUGUGACUUUUUGCCCAUCCCACUGGUCUGUGGGAAGUUGUGACCUCCCACCAUGAGUUAAUGCCAAGGAUUCGCUCAUACUAGGCCAGCACUCUCCCAACUGAGCCCUAUCCUCCACCCGUAACCAGGGGGGAAACAAAACAGCACAACCCAGUGGUUCUGUCUGUCCUCUCAGUUCUCCCUGCUUUGCAAGCUUCUGUGAUCUGGGCUUCUGUUUUUCUGAUGAUGUUGGUCAAUGUAGACCCGUGUAAAUCUGAGUAAGUGAUUUGGAAAGGUUCAUAUAUCUCUCUUAGGUCUAUGUGUUGAAAUCCCUAAUCUGUAACACUACUGGGGAACGAUGAAAUCUUUAGGCCUAGCAGAAGGGCACUAGAUCAUUGGCAUGGGUCUGUGAAAGGGAUACUAAAGCCCUGACCACUUUGUCUCUUUGCUUCCUUGUCACCAGGAGGUGCCCCCACCAUGAUGUGCCCAGGGCAACAGGGCUAAUUGAUGACAACUGAGUCCAUGAGCCCAAAGAAACCUUCCCUCCCUUUAGCAUACACAUUUUGUUACAGUAACACAAUGGUGACUAGCAGAAUGUGUCCUGCUUAAAGAUUAUCAUGUGUUUUCCCUUAGGGAUUGGAGCAUCACAGGGGACAUGGGUGCCUGGAGGGAAAGUUCUCUUUUUCAGGAAUAGCCAGAGGCACAGCUAGCAGGUCCUAGCUGUCACCAAGUAAUGUGUGACUCUCCCAACUUAUCUUUACCAUGUGGAAUAAUUUCGGCAGGACCUGUCUUGGGAGAUGUUUCUAGAAAGCUAGUAAACUGGGUGGCUUCUGACACAGGAAAACCUGAAAACCUUGACUGUUGGCAAAACUCCUUCCAUGCCUCUGUCCCUCACAUGACCCACAGUCAAGCUUUCUGGGGAAGGAAGACUGACUUUGUUCCAGUCAUAGCCAUUAGACUUCCUCUACUUGAUGCACCCAUGUCCAUCAUGUGGGGUUCCCUACACAGUGGGGUAGGCAAACCUGACUUGAGAUUUGAGAAUAAAACUGUUUCCUUUGUUCACCCCUCUCAGUUUGGAGUUAAUCCCAGGACUGUCAGCAACCCUAACUCUGCGUAAGCCAUGAUAGUCAAGACCAGAGGGCCUGGAAGAACUGAGGCAGCUGACAGAGGGUCUGACUAUUCAUGGGCACUGACUGGGCAGGUUGCAAGUGCUCUUAACAUCCUUAUUCAUAUUAGUGGUGAGUUUUUAAAGUUUAUAGUGUGAGCUCUCCUUCUGUGCUCGUUUUCCUACAGAUGAGCAAUGAGUUGUGGAUAGGGCUUUUGACUCCCUAAUCAGCAAUUGGUCAUCCCUCCCUGGCUGUAACCGCUGUCUUUGGCCAAAGGACUAGAAGUCAAGCAGCCAGGCAGGCUACCCAACAGGGUAGCCAUCUGCAGGGACACCUUCAGGAAAAGAUGACAGGGAUUGCCCUGGCUCCCAAAGGGACAGCCUGAGAGAGUCCUAAGUAACCCUGCCACUAUUUCCACUUUGGCCAAAGAGAGCUUCUUCCUUUGGGGAUCUAGCAGAGGGGCUGCUGAGACUAAGAGGCAGGAUGUGAUUGGCCCAAAUGUCUUUCUUAGACUAUAUAACCAACCUCAUCCAGUGAGUUGCUGGAGAGACAUCCAGCUUUCCCAAGGAACCCAGAAAGGCUUCUCUCCAGUGGCCUUCAUUUGCCUUCUGUCACGAGAGUUGAGAUUGUAACACAUAGAGGCAAAAAUGGAAGCAGAGAGCAGACAGCAAUGGAAACAGUGGCAGUGGCGGCAACUUAGCAGUCACCAGGCCAAACUGAAAGAGAAGCUUCUGAACUGGGAAGAAGUCAGGGUGGGAGGAAGGACAGCGUCCGGAGAGACUAAAGAGGGUGGAGCUGACUAAAGGAGAAUGAAGGAGCUGAGUGUGCUCGCCAAGUCUGUAAUCCUGGAACUUGGGAGGUGGUAGCAAGAGGCCCGGGAGUUCAAGGUCAACCUCAUAGUAAAUUCAAGGCCAACCUGGGCUGUGUAAGUCCCAGCUGCAAAAUAAAAAUAAAAUAAACGAAAAUAACAAACUGACUUAAAGACCCAGAAAACAGACACUGUGGGCCCAAGUUAGCAGAAGUGUUCCAAAGAUCUGUCCCGUCUUAGGGACCAAGAGACCUCAGGAUGCGAACUGUUAAUUCUGGCUACUGUCAAGGGCUAUCUUUUCAGGUACCCGAGGCCUGAACCAGACUGUAACGCUAGAGGGCGCCAUGCUCUUCUGCUUCGCGUGCCCACUGCCUGCUGCUUGGCCAUCCUGAGGACAGCAGACUGGUUAGCACUUGAGUCCCUUAGCCUGUGCAUUCUAUAUGAGUGGAACAAAAGAGCCUUCAGCUAGCUGAGUGAGGGCAGCAGGAGCAACAGACUUCUUUCCUAACUGCCUAGCACGGUCAUGUGACCCUACACAGGCUCUGCCCCUGGUCUUCUCGAACUAGAAGGACGAUGAAAAGUCCUUGGUCUCCACAGGCUGCCUUGCUGUUUUACCUCCAUUAAUGACAGGUACAAAGAUGUUCACAGCCACUUCCGGAUGAGCACCCAGAAGGGAAGUGUCUCGUGUGCUGGGUUAGGUCCUUGUUGUGGCUUGCUUGCUUUUUGUUUGUUUGUUUGUUGGCUUGCUUGUUUUGUUCGUCAACUUGACACAAACCUAGUUGUAUCCGAGAAGAAGGAAUCUCAACUAAUGAAUUCCCUCCAUCAGAGUGGCCUCUACACAAGUCUGCAGGACGGUUUUUUUUUUUUUUUUGAUUGAUUGAUGAUUGAUGUGAGAGCUUCUAGUCCACUGUGGCGGGUGCCAUACCUGGGCAGUUGGACCUGGACUGUAUACGUUGGCUGAUCGUGAGCCUGGAAGGAAGCCAGUAAGCAACGUCCCUCCAUGGUCUCUGCUUUGGUUCCCGUCCAGGUUGCCACCCUGACUGAGUUCCUGCCCUGGCUUCCCUUGGAGAUCAGGACGAGCAAGCCAAAUAUAAAUGCUUUCCUCCCUC